rnacentral:rRNA from 1 species
GGGGAAUUUUGGACAAUGGGGGCAACCCUGAUCCAGCCAUCCCGCGUGUGCGAUGAAGGCCUUCGGGUUGUAAAGCACUUUUGGCAGGGAAGAAAAGGCUCUGGCUAAUACCUGGAGCUGCUGACGGUACCUGCAGAAUAAGCACCGGCUAACUACGUGCCAGCAGCCGCGGUAAUACGUAGGGUGCAAGCGUUAAUCGGAAUUACUGGGCGUAAAGCGUGCGCAGGCGGUUCGGCAAGAAGGAUGUGAAAUCCCAGGGCUUAACCUUGGAACUGCAUUCUUAACUGCCGGGCUAGAGUAUGUCAGAGGGGGGUAGAAUUCCGCGUGUAGCAGUGAAAUGCGUAGAGAUGCGGAGGAAUACCGAUGGCGAAGGCAGCCCCCUGGGAUAAUACUGACGCUCAGGCACGAAAGCGUGGGGAGCAAAC